CCUUAGAGUUUGAUCCUGGCUCAGGACGAACUCUGGCGGCGUGCUUAACACAUGCAAGUCGAACGGAGCACCCCUGAAAGAGUUUUCGGACAAUGGAAGGGAAUGCUUAGUGGCGGACUGGUGAGUAACGCGUGAGGAACCUGCCUUCCAGAGGGGGACAACAGUUGGAAACGACUGCUAAUACCGCAUGAUGUGUUUCGAUGGCAUCAUCGAGACACCAAAGAUUUAUCGCUGGAAGAUGGCCUCGCGUCUGAUUAGCUAGUAGGCGGGGUAACGGCCCACCUAGGCGACGAUCAGUAGCCGGACUGAGAGGUUGACCGGCCACAUUGGGACUGAGAUACGGCCCAGACUCCUACGGGAGGCAGCAGUGGGGAAUAUUGGGCAAUGGGCGCAAGCCUGACCCAGCAACGCCGCGUGAAGGAAGAAGGCUUUCGGGUUGUAAACUUCUUUUAAGAGGGAAGAGCAGAAGACGGUACCUCUUGAAUAAGCCACGGCUAACUACGUGCCAGCAGCCGCGGUAAUACGUAGGUGGCAAGCGUUGUCCGGAUUUACUGGGAGUAAAGGGCGUGCAGCCGGGAAGACAAGUCAGAUGUGAAAUCCCGCGGCUCAACCGCGGAACUGCAUUUGAAACUGUUUUUCUUGAGUACCGGAGAGGUCAUCGGAAUUCCUUGUGUAGCGGUGAAAUGCGUAGAUAUAAGGAAGAACACCAGUGGCGAAGGCGGAUGACUGGACGGCAACUGACGGUGAGGCGCGAAAGCGUGGGGAGCAAACAGGAUUAGAUACCCUGGUAGUCCGCGCUGUAAACGAUGGAUACUAGGUGUGCGGGGACUGACCCCCUGCGUGCCGCAGUUAACACAAUAAGUAUCCCACCUGGGGAGUACGAUCGCAAGGUUGAAACUCAAAGGAAUUGACGGGGGCCCGCACAAGCGGUGGAUUAUGUGGUUUAAUUCGAAGCAACGCGAAGAACCUUACCAGGCCUUGACAUGGGAUGCGAAGACGCAGAGAUGCGUUGGAGGCAAACAUCCACACAGGUGGUGCGUGGUUGUCGUCAGCUCGUGUCGUGAGAUGUUGGGUCAAGUCCCGCAACGAGCGCAACCCUUGUGGCAUGUUGCUAACAGGAAAGCUGAGGACUCAUGCCAGACUGCCGGUGACAAACCGGAGGAAGGCGGGGAUGACGUCAAAUCAUCAUGCCCCUUAUGGCCUGGGCUACACACGUACUACAAUGGCGGCUACAAAGAGCGGCGAGACAGGGAUGUCGAGCGAAUCUCAUAAAAGCCGUCCCAGUUCGGAUUGGAGCCUGCAACCCGGCUCCAUGAAGUUGGAAUCGCUAGUAAUCGCGGAUCAGCAUGCCGCGGUGAAUACGUUCCCGGGCCUUGCACUCACCGCCCGUCA
rnacentral:rRNA from 1 species